rnacentral:rRNA from 1 species
CUGACACAGGGAGGUAGUGACAAUAAAUAACAAUGCCGAGCUCUUUAAGUUUGGCAAUUGGAAUGAGAACAAUUUAAAUCCCUUAUCGAGGAUCAAUUGGAGGGCAAGUCUGGUGCCAGCAGCCGCGGUAAUUCCAGCUCCAAUAGCGUAUACUAAAGUUGUUGCAGUUAAAAAGCUCGUAGUUGAAUUUCUGGUCUUGGACAGCGGUCUGCCUCAAACGAGGUACGCACCAUCUAUCCGAGUCCAUCCUCGGGGAAAACAUGUCUGUGAUUCAGUUCAUGGGCAUGGGAUCCUCGUCAUUUACUGUGAGCAAAAUAGAGUGUUCAAAGCAGGCUUAUGCCGUUGAAUAUUUUAGCAUGGAAUAAUAAGAUAAGACCUUGGUCUAUUUUGUUGGUUUGUACUCCAAGGUAAUGAUUAAUAGGGACAGUUGGGGGUAUUCGUAUUCAAUUGUCAGAGGUGAAAUUCUUGGAUUUAUUGAAGACGAACUACUGCG